rnacentral:rRNA from 1 species
GCUUGUCUCAAAGAUUAAGCCAUGCACGUGUAAGUAUAAACAAAUUAUACUGUGAAACUGCGAAUGGCUCAUUAAAUCAGUUAUAGUUUAUUUGAUAGUGGAAUGCUACAUGGAUAACCGUGGUAAUUCUAGAGCUAAUACAUGCGAAAAGACCCGACUUUUGGGAAGGGUUGUAUUUAUUAGAUUCAAAACCAAUGAGCCGCAAGGCUGUUUCCGCAAGGAAAGGGUGGUGAUUCAUAAUAACUGUGCGAAUCGUAUUGGGCACUUGCUGCCGACGAUGGAUCAUUCAAGUUUCUGCCCUAUCAGCUUUGGAUGGUAGGGUAUUGGCCUACCAUGGCUUUAACGGGUAACGGAGAAUUAGGGUUCGAUUCCGGAGAGGGAGCCUGAGAAAUGGCUACCACAUCCAAGGAAGGCAGCAGG